GCCCUGGUGGCUCAGAGGUUAAAGCGUCUGCCUCCAAUGCAGGAGACCCGGGUUUGAUCCCUGGGUGGGGAA
rnacentral:tRNA from 1 species